rnacentral:rRNA from 1 species
UACGGGGAGCAACAGCCUACGGGAGGCUGUAGUGGGGAAUCUUAGACAAUGGGCGCAAGCCUGAUCUAGCCAUGCCGCGUGAGUGAUGAAGGCCUUAGGGUCGUAAAGCCUUUCGCCAGAGAUGAUAAUGACAGUAUCUGGUAAAGAAACCCCGGCUAACUCCGUGCCAGCAGCCGCGGUAAUACGGAGGGGGUUAGCGUUGUUCGGAAUUACUGGGCGUAAAGCGCACGUUGGGAAUUCUAGAAAGUUUGGGUUGAAAUCCCAGGGCUCAACCCUGGGACGGGCUCCCAAACUCCUUUCCUUAAGUUCGAGAGAGGUGAGUUAAAUCUGAGUUUAGAUAUUCGGAGGAACACCAGUGGCGAAGGCGGCUCACUGGCUCGAUACUAGCGCUGAGGUGCGAAAGUGUGGGGAGCAAAAAGGAUUUGAUACCCUG